GAGAUCUCUCGCGUAAGGACUGAGAUGCCACAUGUCCAUUGUCUAGUCAAUAAGGACUGUGGGGAGAGUUCAUAGACUCAGAUCUAAAAUCAUCACCUGAAGUAAUGCUGAAUUAUCAGAACUGAAAGAAGCAAUAAAACCACAGCCUCAAGAUCAGCUCAAGAAAAAUCCAGAAAUAAGGUCAUUUUGUCAUGCCUCAUGUUUAAUAUGAAGGUAGUAAAGAAUUAAAGCCAUAUUGUUCAAUAGACAUGUCUUUGAGCACUGAUAAAUCU
rnacentral:lncRNA from 1 species